rnacentral:lncRNA from 1 species
CGGCCGCCUCCGCCUCCCAGGACGAGCUGAAUUCUUUAUACAAUUGCAUAUGUACGAGUGGAUGAACAUACCAUUGGUGAUCCAGAGGACUUUUGUCAAGAUUGGAUAAACCAUGUAUCACAUUGAUUGUAGAGAUCAGCUCGAACGGGUCUUUUUACGACUUGGCCAUGCUGAAACAGAUGAACAGUUACAAAAUAUUAUAUCUAAAUUUCUUCCUCCUGUUUUGCUCAAACUGUCCAGCACCCAAGAAGGAGUACGGAAAAAAGUAA